rnacentral:rRNA from 1 species
CGGCGGACGGGUGAGUAACACUGGGUAACCUACCUAUAAGACUGGGACAACUUCGGGAAACCGGAGCUAAUACCGGAUAAGAUAUCGAACCGCAUGGUUCGAUAGUGAAAGAUGGUUUUGCUAUCACUUAUAGAUGGACCCGCGCCGUAUUAGCUAGUUGGUGAGGUAACGGCUCACCAAGGCAACGAUACGUAGCCGACCUGAGAGGGUGAUCGGCCACACUGGAACUGAGACACGGUCCAGACUCCUACGGGAGGCAGCAGCG